rnacentral:rRNA from 1 species
UGCGUAGGCGGCGCAGUAUGUCGGAAGUGAAAUCUCACGGCUCACCCGUGAAAUGUCUUCCGAAACUAUUGUGCUAGAGUACGGGAGAGGAGAGCGGAAUUCUUGGUGUAGCGGUGAAAUGCGUAGAUAUCAAGAAGAACACCGGUGGCGAAAGCGGCUCUCUGGACCGAUACUGACGCUGAGGCACGAAAGCUGGGGGAGCAAAGA